rnacentral:rRNA from 1 species
CACUACGGCCACCAACAAGCCCGAUCCCGUCUGAUCUCGGGAGUUAAGCAGGGUCGGGCCUGGUGAGUACUUGGAUGGGAGACCACCGAGGAAGACCGGGUGCCGUAGGCG